GGAACAUGCCUCUUCCUAAACAAUGGUAAGGCUGUCCACUACAGUGGGGCCAGUCUACUUCAUUGGAGGAGUGUUAGACUAGACAUCACCCUGAAUGCUGGGGACAUAGCGGGUAUAGGGUGGGAGAGGACAGGAGAGUCCCCCGUACAGGGACAGACCCCCAGGGGGAGGUUCUACUUCAGUGGAGGAGUAUUAGACUAGACAUCACCCUGAAUGCUGGGGACAUAACGGGUAUAGGGUGGGAGAGGACAGGAGAGUCCCCUGUACAGGGACAGACCCCCAGGGGGAGGUUCUACUUCACGUAUAAUGGGCACCGCCUCAAUGCCUACAUGGAUGAUGUGUUGGGUGGAAUGUAUCCUGUUGUUCAUAUUCAGAAAAAGAACACAAGAAUCGGAGCAAACUUUGGAACGAGGCCUUUUGCUUUUGCCGAGGGAUAGCAACACAAGGAGGGGGCUGAUGCAGUGAAUGACCUGACCAGAGAGAUCAGGGAGAGUUUCUGUCACCUGCCAUUCCACCCCCACACUGACAAAGAGAACAAGGGAAGCCCCCAGCCCUGAUUCCACCAUGGUGGAGGAAAUCAAAGCCCCGAAAGGACCCCAAUGUAAAACUGCUACCAUACCAAAACCACAGAAUGUGUACAACCCAGAAGAUCGUCUAGCUUUCAAGCUGUU